rnacentral:rRNA from 1 species
GACGAACGCUGGCGGCGUGCUUAACACAUGCAAGUCGAACGAAGUGGCGAACGGGUGAGUAACGUGUGAUCAACCUGCCCUUCAGAGGGGGACAACAGUUGGAAACGACUGCUAAUACCGCAUACUGAAGGAGGGGAUUGCGUCUGAUUAGCUAGUGGGAGGGGUAACGGCCCACCAAGGCGAUGAUCCGUAGCCGGGCUGAGAGGAGGAACGGCCACAUUGGGACUGGGAACCGGCCCAGACUCCUACGGGAGGGAGCAGUUGGGAAUCUUCCGAAAUGGACGAAAAUCUGACGGAGCAACGCCGCGUGGGUGAGGACGGCCGUCGGGUUGGAAAGCUCUGUUAAGCGGGACGCGGUACCGGAAGAGGAAGCCACGGCUAACUACGUGCCAGCAGCCGCGGUAAUAC